GACGAACGCUGGCGGCGUGCCUAAUACAUGCAAGUUGAGCGAUGAAGAUUGGUGCUUGCACCAAUUUGAAGAGCCGCGAACGGGUGAGUAACGCGUGGGGAAUCUGCCUUUGAGCGGGGGACAACAUUUGGAAACGAAUGCUAAUACCGCAUAACCACUUUAAACAUAAGUUUUAAGUUUGAAAGAUGCAAUUGCAUCACUCAAAGAUGAUCCCGCGUUGUAUUAGCUAGUUGGUGAGGUAAAGGCUCACCAAGGCGAGGAUACAUAGCCGACCUGAGAGGGUGAUCGGCCACAUUGGGACUGAGACACGGCACAAACGCCUACGGGAGGAAGCAGUAGGGAAUCUUCGGCAAUGGACGAAAGUCUGACCGAGCAACGCCGCGUGAGUGAAGAAGGUGUUCGGAUCGUAAAACUCUGUUGGUAGAGAAGAACGUUGGUGAGAGUGGAAAGCUCAUCAAGUGACGGUAACUACCCAGAAAGGGACGGCUAACUACGUG
rnacentral:rRNA from 1 species